UUCGGAGUCUAGCGGCGGACGGGUGAGUAACACGUGGGCAACCUGCCUGUAAGACUGGGAUAACACCGGGAAACCGGUGCUAAUACCGGAUAAUCCUUUUCCUCUCAUGAGGAAAAGCUGAAAGUCGGUUUCGGCUGACACUUACAGAUGGGCCCGCGGCGCAUUAGCUAGUUGGUGAGGUAACGGCUCACCAAGGCGACGAUGCGUAGCCGACCUGAGAGGGUGAUCGGCCACACUGGGACUGAGACACGGCCCAAACUCCUACGGGAGGCAGCAGUAGGGAAUCUUCCACAAUGGACGAAAGUCUGAUGGAGCAACGCCGCGUGAGCGAUGAAGGCCUUCGGGUCGUAAAGCUCUGUUGUUAGGGAAGAACAAGUACCGGAGUAACUGCCGGUACCUUGACGGUACCUAACCAGAAAGCCACGGCUAACUACGUGCCAGCAGCCGCGGUAAUACGUAGGUGGCAAGCGUUGUCCGGAAUUAUUGGGCGUAAAGCGCGCGCAGGCGGUCCUUUAAGUCUGAUGUGAAAGCCCACGGCUCAACCGUGGAGGGUCAUUGGAAACUGGGGGACUUGAGUGCAGAAGAGGAAAGCGGAAUUCCACGUGUAGCGGUGAAAUGCGUAGAGAUGUGGAGGAACACCAGUGGCGAAGGCGGCUUUCUGGUCUGUAACUGACGCUGAGGCGCGAAAGCGUGGGGAGCAAACAGGAUUAGAUACCCUGGUAGUCCACGCCGUAAACGAUGAGUGCUAAGUGUUAGAGGGUUUCCGCCCUUUAGUGCUGCAGCUAACGCAUUAAGCACUCCGCCUGGGGAGUACGGCCGCAAGGCUGAAACUCAAAGGAAUUGACGGGGGCCCGCACAAGCGGUGGAACAUGUGGUUUAAUUCGAAGCAACGCGAAGAACCUUACCAGGUCUUGACAUCCUCUGACACUCCUAGAGAUAGGACGUUCCCCUUCGGGGGACAGAUUGACAGGUGGUGCAUGGUUGUCGUCAGCUCGUGUCGUGAGAUGUUGGGUUAAGUCCCGCAACGAGCGCAACCCUUGAUCUUAGUUGCCAGCAUUUAGUUGGGCACUCUAAGGGGACUGCCGGUGACAACCCGAAGAAAGUGGGGAUGACGUCAAUCAUCAUGCCC
rnacentral:rRNA from 2 species